rnacentral:tRNA from 1 species
AAAUUAGAGCUUUGGAUAAAGUAUUUUAUUUACAUUAAAAGGUUAAUUGUGAAACUCAAUUUAAUUUGAG